rnacentral:rRNA from 1 species
GGCGUGCUUAACACAUGCAAGUCGAGCGGUAAGGCCUUUCGGGGUACACGAGCGGCGAACGGGUGAGUAACACGUGGGUGAUCUGCCCUGCACUCUGGGAUAAGCUUGGGAAACUGGGUCUAAUACCGGAUAUGACCGCAUGCCGCAUGGUGUGUGGUGGAAAGAUUUAUCGGUGCAGGAUGGGCCCGCGGCCUAUCAGCUUGUUGGUGGGGUAAUGGCCUACCAAGGCGACGACGGGUAGCCGACCUGAGAGGGUGACCGGCCACACUGGGACUGAGACACGGCCCAGACUCCUACGGGAGGCAGCAGUGGGGAAUAUUGCACAAUGGGCGGAAGCCUGAUGCAGCGACGCCGCGUGAGGGAUGAAGGCCUUCGGGUUGUAAACCUCUUUCAGCAGGGACGAAGCGUGAGUGACGGUACCUGCAGAAGAAGCACCGGCUAACUACGUGCCAGCAGCCGCGGUAAUACGUAGGGUGCGAGCGUUGUCCGGAAUUACUGGGCGUAAAGAGUUCGUAGGCGGUUUGUCGCGUCGUUUGUGAAAACCCGGGGCUCAACUUCGGGCUUGCAGGCGAUACGGGCAGACUUGAGUGUUUCAGGGGAGACUGGAAUUCCUGGUGUAGCGGUGAAAUGCGCAGAUAUCAGGAGGAACACCGGUGGCGAAGGCGGGUCUCUGGGAAACAACUGACGCUGAGGAACGAAAGCGUGGGUAGCAAACAGGAUUAGAUACCCUGGUAGUCCACGCCGUAAACGGUGGGCGCUAGGUGUGGGUUCCUUCCACGGGAUCUGUGCCGUAGCUAACGCAUUAAGCGCCCC